rnacentral:sRNA from 1 species
GGAUAUGAGGAUGAUCUGGCUGUGACAUCUGUCACGUUAGCGAUGGCCAGCAUUGAUUUGGCUGAUAAGGCUAGCGAGGCAGCUGUUCCCUCUUCCUUCCUCAUUGCUCCCUGUGACUCUUAUUCUCUCCAUUCUGUAUCAGGUAAUAUUUUAAAUUGCUAUGCAUAUGAUCAUGUUUUUGGGUAAGCCUGGCAUAAUGUACUGAUAUAUUUAAUCAUACUUAAGAUUUUUAUCAUAAAAAAGCAAGACUU